UGUAGCCAGAUGGAGGUCGGUCUCUUCUCCCAGGCAACAAGUGAUAGAUAGGAUGAGAGGACACAGCCUCAGACUGUGCCAGGGGAGGUUUAGAUUGGACAUCAGGAGCAACUUCCUCACAGAAAGAGUCAUUAGAUAUUGGAAUGGGCUGCCCAGGGAGGUGGUGGAGUCACCAUCCCUUGGAGGUGUUAAAGGAAAAAUUGGUGCUUAGUGCUGUGGUGUAGUUGACAUGGUGUUUUUUGGUCAUGGGUUGGACUCGAUGAUCUCAGAGGUCUUUUCCUAUCUAAUUGAUUCUGUGAUUAUGGGGCAACCUUUAAUUCCAAAAUAAAAACCAGGAGUAGUGUCUCCUGGUCCUGGUUUGGGCCAGGACAGGCUUAAUUUUUUGCAGUAGCCUGGAGGCGGCAUGGUCGGGACAUGGAGGUUAUUCUGUACCACCUCGUGGCAUUGCUGGGGGCAGGGAAAAGGGACUGUCCCUUUCAGGAAAAUGGGCUCGUUGCAAGGGAAAGGCAAUCUCACUUCCAUGAAAUGAGAUUUUUUUUUCUUAUGAAUAGUUUCUUUUCUUAUACCCUCUGUCAUUACUAUUGUUGCUAUUCCUGUUAGUUUUCUUAUCUUGUUACUGUUUCCAGUAAAUUGUUCUUAUCUCAACCCGUGAUCUUUGCAUUUUGUACCUCUAAUUCUCAAUUCCAUCCCACCGAAGCAGGAAGGGGAAGAGCACACAGUGCAGUUUUUGGAGAGCCUCGGUGGGGGCACUGAAUUGAGGAGUAUCAUUCCUAAACCACAACACCUGAGGAGAACCUGAAGCUUUGAGAUGGCACAUUGGGAAGCCUAAGCCAACUGUUCCUGCUGUAUGCAUGCCUGAAUUGAUUACAUUGUUCUGUGGAGCUCAGAGACUCUCCUUCCUGUUGGUCUGUCCCUGUGUGAAACAGGAAUUCACAAUACUAGAAUGAGUCAGAAGUGAAAGCCAGAGCCGCUCUCCCGAGCUUGGACAUCAAUUUGGAAACACCUAGAUACCACUCUCAGUCCAAAUGGUUUGUGAGGGCAAGUGUUCCAGCUAAGAUCUUGCAGUUGGACACUUUGCCUUUGCUUGGAUCACUAGCAGCUCUCAUGUCAGGCUCAGAUCUUCAGGGCUAUUUUCAUGAGAUGAAAGAAAUCUUAAUUAAGUGUUCAUAUCUUUGUCAGCCAGACUCAGAAUAAAAAUUGAUGCGAUUCCCUUGA